UUUGUACUCCCUCCGUCCCAAAAUUCUUGUCUUAAAUUUGUCUAAAUACGGAUGUAUCUAGUUACAUUUUAGUGUUAGAUACAUCCGUAUCUAAACAAAUGUAAGACAAGAAUUUUGGGACGGAGGGAAUAUUAC
rfam:Triticum urartu cultivar G1812 contig698215, whole genome shotgun sequence.